rnacentral:lncRNA from 10 species
UGGAGAUUGUGACAUCAGAAAAAAAGGGAAAAACUUUCAGGACUCAUGGAGAGCUGAAAUGUUCAUGAAUAUCAAGCAAAACGAAUUAACUGAAUUGACUGAACCAAUAGAAGUCUAAAAUAUUGCCUCUUGUCGGAACUCAAGAGUCACGGAUAGCCCUCACCAUACUGAUGCUUUCUGACUGAGCUCCUCCCUACCCUGAACACAAGAGAUGCUAAUAGGCAGAAAUACCAUCACCCCUUUCAGCCUGAAGAAGUUACAGAAGAUGGAUAUUUAUCCCUCUGCAACCCUUAGGAUUAAAGGUUCUCUUAUAGAAGGGAGGGGGGAAAUGUCAGAGGUGUUUAAACCAGAGCAACUCCAUCUUGAAUAGGAGCUGGGUUAAAUGAGGCUGAGACCUAUUGGGCUGCAUACCCAGAUGGUUCAGGCAUUCUAAAUCACAGGAUGAGAUAGGAGGUCAGCAGAAGAUACAGGUCAUAAAGAUCUUGUUGAUAAAACAAGUUGUAAUAAAGAAGCCUUUACCAAGAUAGCCACAAGAGUGAACUCUGGUCAUCCUCACUGCUACAUUUCCACCAGUGCCGUGACAGUUUACAAAUGCCAUGGCAAUGUCAGGAAUUACCCUAUAUGGUCUAAAAAGGGGAGGCAUGAAUGAUCCACCUCUUGUUUAGCAUAUUAUCAAGAAAUAACCAUAAAAAUGGGCAAGCAACAGCCCACAGGGCUGCUCUGUCUAUGGGGUAGCCAUUCUUCUAUUCCUUUACUUUCUUUUUUUUUUUUUUGAGAUGGAGUCUCACUCUGUCACCUAGGCUAGAGUGCAAUGGUGCAAUCUUAGCUCACUGCAACCUCCGCCUCCUGGGUUUAAGUGAUUCUCCUGCCUCAGCCUCCCGAGUAGCUGGGAUUAUAGGUGCCCACCACCAUGCCUGGCUAAUUUUUGUAUUUUUAGGACAGACAGGGCUUUGCCAUGUUGCUCAGGCUGGUCUCGAACUCCCGACCUCAGGGGAUCCGCCCUCCUUGGCCUCCCAAAGUGCUAGGAUUACAGGCAUGAGCCACCACACCCGGUCUUAUUCAUUUAAUUUCUUAAUAAAUUUGCUUUCACUUUACUCUAUGGGCUCACCCUGAAUUCUUUCAUGCUUGAAGUCCAAGAACCCUCUCUUGGGGUCUGGAUUGGGACCCUUUUCCUGUAACAGCUUGACUU